UUUCAACAAUAUAGUCUGGAGUAGAAUACCUAAGAAUGUAUAAUUUGUUGGAAGAAAAACUUUAGAAAUAGGGGUAUUUGAUGCAAUCUUGACAUUCAAUGAUGGAAACUUAGGUAGAUUAAAUGUUGUGAAAGAACUUGGGAUUGUUAACUACGGUAUAAACACUGUUGUGGCGCUGAAAAAAGUUGAUGAGGUUCGACUUCAAAAGGCUCAACGGGCAGCACAGGAUGCAACCAAAGAAUCCAGAAUUGCUAAAAGAAGAAAGAAACUUGAAGAAGAAGAAGGAGCAUCCUCUCAAUACUGCCCAGGUGGAUUUUAAGUGGCUGAGCGGUGGAUGUCAUUACGUGAGAGAGUAAAGAGGUGGUCAGAUGAUCAUGGUCUUCGGCUAAACUCUGAUAAAUGUUCUGUUUGGUUAGUAAAAUGGCUCAUCUUUGAAUGGCCAAACGGGAAAGUGCAUGGCUGAUGGUUGUAUCCAUGUAGACGGUAAGCCUUUGACUUCAUGUAGAAUCAAGAAUCAAGAAUUUAUUCAACAAAUUACAAAAUGUACAUUUUGUAUAGUUGACGUCAAUAUUACUUUCUUAAGACCAAGGAGUUGUCAUGAAAAGCAGAGUUUGUACUUUGAUGAACGCUCGACCAAUAAAGAGUGAAUUGAGCAUUGACGCAGCAGAACCUCGGUGAUGAAUAAAUAUGGACAUACAAUGGUUGUAGAAAACACAUCAAAGAAGAAGGACUAGAAGAAGGAAACACAUUCUAAAGAGGACCAGAAAUCCACAAUAGAAGCCCUGAUAGGCGGAGGGCACUUUUCUCCUGCUAUUCACUCGAGAUCUCCAUACAGAAGUUAAUAUUGGGGUUUAGCAAAGGAUUUCAAACAUUUUAUGAUAUAAAAUUACAUGGCACAUUGUAGAUCCUAACAUAUGUUUGUAUUUAAUUAAAUAAAAGAUUUCAAAAGUAACGUAUA